rnacentral:rRNA from 1 species
GAUGAACGCUAGCGGCAGGCUUAAUACAUGCAAGUCGAGGGGCAGCACGAGUAGCAAUACUUGGUGGCGACCGGCGCACGGGUGCGUAACACGUAUACAAUCUACCUUAAACAGGGGGAUAGCCUUUCGAAAGAGAGAUUAAUACCCCGUAAUAUAUUGAGUGGCAUCAUUUGAUAUUGAAAGCUCCGGCGGUUUGAGAUGAGUAUGCGUCUGAUUAGCUAGUUGGUGGUGUAAUGGACCACCAAGGCGACGAUCGGUAGGGGAUCUGAGAGGACUAACCCCCACACUGGUACUGAGACACGGACCAGACUCCUACGGGAGGCAGCAGUAAGGAAUAUUGGUCAAUGGGGGCAACCCUGAACCAGCCAUGCCGCGUGCAGGAAGACGGCCCUAUGGGUUGUAAACUGCUUUUGUACCAGAGAAAACCCGAGUACGUGUACUCGGUUGAUAGUAUGGUAAGAAUAAGCAUCGGCUAACUUCGUGCCAGCAGCCGCGGUAAGACGAAGGAUGCAAGCGUUAUCCGGAUUCAUUGGGUUUAAAGGGUGCGUAGGCGGACUUGUAAGUCAGUGGUGAAAUCUCUCAGCUUAACUGAGAAACUGCCAUUGAUACUGCAGGUCUAGAGUAUAGAUGACGUUGGCGGAAUAUGACAUGUAGUGGUGAAAUACUUAGAUAUGUCAUAGAACACCGAUUGCGAAGGCAGCUAACGAAACUAUAACUGACGCUGAGGCACGAAAGUGCGGGGAUCAAACAGGAUUAGAUACCCUGGUAGUCCGCACCGUAAACGAUGAUUACUCGUUGUUGGCGAUAUGACAGUCAGCGACCAAGCGAAAGCGAUAAGUAAUCCACCUGGGGAGUACGCCGGCAC